rnacentral:misc_RNA from 1 species
GCAAUAUUUGUGACACUGGAUGGGGUUGGUCCAUCAUUACCUGCAGAGCACACGACUACAAUUCCCUUCUGAAUAGCAUGGAAUGCACCAAUUGCAAUCACAUCAUGGUUGUAAUCCUGAACCUCCCCACCAAUGGAAAGUGAAAUCACGUCAACUCCAUCACGGAUGGCGGCUUCAAAUCCUGCCAAUAUAUCAGCAUUGUAGCAUCCUGCUCCAG